CCUACGGGAGGCAGCAGUGAGGAAUAUUGGUCAAUGGGCUUACGCCUGAACCAGCCAAGUCGCGUUAGGGAAGACUGCCCUAUGGGUUGUAAACCUCUUUUGUCAGGGAGCAAUUGGCGCUACGUGUAGCGUUAUCGAGAGUACCUGCAGAAAAAGCAUCGGCUAACUCCGUGCCAGCAGCCGCGGUAAUACGGAGGAUGCGAGUGUUAUCCGGAUUUAUUGGGUUUAAAGGGUUCGUAGGCGGAAUGCCAAGUCAGCGGUAAAAUCGCGGGGCUAAACCUCGCUUCGCCGUUGAAAAUGGCGUUCUUGAGUGGGCGAGAAGGAUGCGGAAUGCGUGGUGUAGCGGUGAAAUGCAUAGAUAUCACGCAGAACUCCGACUGAGAAGGCAGCAUACCGGCGCCCAACUGACGCUGAAGCACGAAAGCGGGGGUAUCGAACAGGAUUAGAUACCCCAGUAGUC
rnacentral:rRNA from 1 species